GAUGAAAGAACGUAGCGAAAUGCGAUACGUAAUGUGAAUUGCAAAUUCAGUGAAUCAUCGAGUCUUUGAACGCACAUUGCGCCCCCUGGUAUUCCGGGGGGCAUGCCUGUCCGAGCGUCAUUGCUGCCCUCAAGCACGGCUUGUGUGUUGGGCCCCGUCCUCCGAUCCCGGGGGACGGGCCCGAAAGGCAGCGGCGGCACCGCGUCCGGUCCUCGAGCGUAUGGGGCUUUGUCACCCGCUCUGUAGGCCCGGCCGGCGCUUGCCGAUCAACCCAAAUUUUUAUCCAGGUUGACCUCGGAUCAGGUAGGGAUACCCGCUGAACUUAAGCAUAUCAAUAAGCGGAGGA
rnacentral:misc_RNA from 1 species